rnacentral:rRNA from 1 species
GUAUGAAUGGCUGCAUGAGGACCAAACGGUCUCCUUGGACCAAUCAAUGAACCUGAUCUCCCAGUACAAAAGCUGGGAUAAAACCAUAAGACGAGAAGACCCUGUGGAGCUUUAAAUAUAACUACUAAUUAUAACUGCACCCCCCAGGGCCCACAAAACCAAAAUAGUACACAUUUUUAGUUGGGGCGACUACGGAACCAAACAAAACUUCCACGACAACAGACCAACCCCCCCCCCCCAGGUAAACAUACCAACACCAUUUGACCCAGUAACACUGACCAACGAACCAAGUUACCCCAGGGAUAACAGCGCCAUCCUCUUCAAGAGCCCAUAUCGCCAAGAGGGUUUACGACCUCGAUGUUGGAUCAGGACCCCCAGGUGGUGCAGCCGCUACCU